rnacentral:pre_miRNA from 1 species
AUGAUUGUGCGUCUAGUCCAUGUAGCUGUGACAUCAUGACUAGAUCCACACUCAUCC